rnacentral:rRNA from 1 species
UACGUAGGUGGCAAGCGUUGUCCGGAUUUAUUGGGUUUAAAGGGUGCGUAGGCGGUCUUAUAAGUCAGUGCUGAAAUAUCCCGGCUUAACCGGGAGGGUGGCAUUGAUACUGUAGGACUUGAGUAAAGUUGAGGUUGGCGGAAUUGACGGUGUAGCGGUGAAAUGCGUAGAUAUCGGGAGGAACACCAGUGGCGAAGGCGGCUACCUGGCCCAUUCUUGACGCUGAGGCGCGAAAGCUAGGGGAGCGAACGGG